rnacentral:lncRNA from 1 species
CUCUGCUGGAGGCUCAAAGGUAAUUAUGCUCUUUCCAUUUAUCGGACCAUGCUUAUCUUUUCUGUGGGAGUUGGAUUAUGUGGAUUAUUAUGUUGUCCACAUCUUUAGGUGCAAAUUGUAUCGUUUAAUAAUUUUUUCAGCAGGUGUGAAAACUUAAACCAUGCUUAAGGCAGUGUUUGUGCUCGGAUGCCUGCUGGGUCUUGUCCUGGCUAUUCCUUUGGACUCGGCCGCCAAACGACUGGAGCGGUCAGCCUCUUCCUCUGAGUCAGAUGAGAGGGGAAUGGUCGCUCCUCCACGUAUGAGGUUGCCCAAUCUAACUCCCCAGCAAUGGUACGACAUCAUCAUGCUCUUCCAACGACCUACCCCUGCACCAACUACCACAACUGCUACUACAACCCCAACUACAACAUCUGCAACUACAACAACUACAACAAAAACCCCUGCUACACCUGUCACGAAAUAAUAUCCCCAAUUCAGCAAGACAUCAAUAAGCAGCAGUGAAUUAUGUUCAAUUCUGACACAGUACAGUUUUGUUCUUACUAAGGGCAUACAGGUGUUUUGUUUGUUUAAGUAAAAAAUGUAAAUGUAAAUGUAACCAGUCUUUCACUUCAAUACACUUGAGCUACUUCAAGUGCUAAAUAAACUUUAUAAAUUCACACA